rnacentral:piRNA from 1 species
UCCACAGCACCUCCCAUUUCUGCUCUUU